UUCUGUGUGAAAUUCGGCCUGCAGUUAGCACGCACUGACCUGUAUAUCUGUAGUUGCACUGGUGCGCAGUGGCAAAGUAGUUUCCCAGAAAAGCAGACGACCGGUUGUAAGGGUUGUGUUGAUGACUUACUCGACAUUAAUGAUCGUGGAAUAUCAAAAUUUGUGGCCUUGAAUUAGUCGGAUAUUUCACAUAGGAUGUGGAAGGGAAAGAGCACUCAUCUCAUGUGGGGCGACCUAUUUUCAACCAGUGGAAAUGAGAGAAAAAGUGGGCAUGCCUACCUCAGGUGAUCGCUGACUUCUCAUGGAAACAUUAUUUCUCAGAAAUGAGGUCAACGGAAAGCGAUCCCCGCCACGUUUUGAUCAUGGAACCUCGACGUCUGUAGUUUGUGAAUAGUAAAAUAUGUGAUAAAGGUUCUUAACCAAGACGACAUGACAGGAAGCUUCUAGGCAACAACUGAAACAACAUUAGAAAAUAUAUUCUGUGAGCAAGCGUGCAAACGAAGAUUUUUUCGUCAAAACUAAUAAAAGCCUAUCACGAGAAAAAGCUGAGGAAGACUUCUCCGACCAACAAGGGCAGACUUCAGUGACCUACGAUCUUCGAAAAUCAGUCCAGAGCUUACAUCUGUUGAUGAGAAGUAUCAUCAGCUAAAAAAAAAAUGGACAUGGUGGAUGUUCCUCUUUCAGAGACAGGUGGAAUUAGGUGCAGGAAAGAGUAGCAAAGAAAAAGAACUCGGAAAACUUGUUUGUAAUCUUUGUUUUCCAUGAGCAUGUUUUGCUUUCUUGCCAGCAGAAAGUUUGAAAGUCAUUCAUGUGUGUCCGUGCUUAUUGUGGGAGUUCCCUCUAAAUAUACUGUUUAAAAGUCGAUUUCCAACGAUAAGUUUCAAACCACGAUCCGAGGCUAAGACUGAUGUUAGAUUCUCAGAUUUAUUUAUUACAUUUUGUGUCAUUACAUUUAAAUAUUUACAUUUAAAUAUGGCUUCAUAUGCUUGUCUCUUAUCAUAAUAUGUAUAUAAAGAGAGAUCUGAAAUAUUUUUGAUGAUAUACAAUCUGUUAAGAGUAUUGACUUUGUGCAUAAAGUAGAUGUGUCUACUAAAUAAAUAGUGGUUU